CAGCAGCCACGGGAACACGUAGGGUGCGAGCGUCAAUCGGAAUUACUGGGCGUAAAGCGUGCGCAGGCGGCUUUGCAAGACAGAUGUGAAAUCCCCGGGCUCAACCUGGGAACUGCAUUUGUGACUGCAUGGCUAGAGUACGGUAGAGGGGGAUGGAAUUCCGCGUGUAGCAGUGAAAUGCGUAGAUAUGCGGAGGAACACCGAUGGCGAAGGCAAUCCCCCGGACCUGUACUGACGCUCAUGCACGAAAGCGUGGGGAGCAAACAGGAUUAGAUACCCGCGUAGUCCCUGUCUCUUAUAC
rnacentral:rRNA from 1 species